rnacentral:rRNA from 1 species
AACGCUGGCGGCGUGCUUAACACAUGCAAGUCGAACGGUGAUGUCAGAGCUUGCUCUGGCGGAUCAGUGGCGAACGGGUGAGUAACACGUGAGUAACCUGCCCCCGACUCUGGGAUAACUGCUAGAAAUGGUAGCUAAUACCGGAUAUGACGAUUGGCCGCAUGGUCUGGUCGUGGAAAGAAUUUCGGUUGGGGAUGGACUCGCGGCCUAUCAGGUUGUUGGUGAGGUAAUGGCUCACCAAGCCUACGACGGGUAGCCGGCCUGAGAGGGUGACCGGCCACACUGGGACGAGACACGGCCCAGACUCCUACGGGAGGCAGCAGUGGGGAAUAUUGCACAAUGGGCGAAAGCCUGAUGCAGCAACGCCGCGUGAGGGAUGACGGCCUUCGGGUUGUAAACCUCUUUUAGUAGGGAAGAAGCGAAAGUGACGGUACCUGCAGAAAAAGCACCGGCUAACUACGUGCCAGCAGCCGCGGUAAUACGUAGGGUGCAAGCGUUGUCCGGAAUUAUUGGGCGUAAAGAGCUCGUAGGCGGUUUGUCGCGUCUGCUGUGAAAUCCCGAGGCUCAACCUCGGGUCUGCAGUGGGUACGGGCAGACUAGAGUGCGGUAGGGGAGAUUGGAAUUCCUGGUGUAGCGGUGGAAUGCGCAGAUAUCAGGAGGAACACCGAUGGCGAAGGCAGAUCUCUGGGCCGUAACUGACGCUGAGGAGCGAAAGCAUGGGGAGCGAACAGGAUUAGAUACCCUGGUAGUCCAUGCCGUAAACGUUGGGAACUAGAUGUGGGGACCAUUCCACGGUCUCCGUGUCGCAGCUAACGCAUUAAGUUCCCCGCCUGGGGAGUACGGCCGCAAGGCUAAAACUCAAAGGAAUUGACGGGGGCCCGCACAAGCGGCGGAGCAUGCGGAUUAAUUCGAUGCAACGCGAAGAACCUUACCAAGGCUUGACAUAUACCGGAAACAUGCAGAAAUGUGUGCCCCGCAAGGUCGGUAUACAGGUGGUGCAUGGUUGUCGUCAGCUCGUGUCGUGAGAUGUUGGGUUAAGUCCCGCAACGAGCGCAACCCUCGUUCUAUGUUGCCAGCACGUAAUGGUGGGAACUCAUAGGAGACUGCCGGGGUCAACUCGGAGGAAGGUGGGGAUGACGUCAAAUCAUCAUGCCCCUUAUGUCUUGGGCUUCACGCAUGCUACAAUGGCCGGUACAAAGGGCUGCGAUACCGUAAGGUGGAGCGAAUCCCAAAAAGCCGGUCUCAGUUCGGAUUGAGGUCUGCAACUCGACCUCAUGAAGUCGGAGUCGCUAGUAAUCGCAGAUCAGCAACGCUGCGGUGAAUACGUUCCCGGGCCUUGUACACACCGCCCGUCAAGUCAUGAAAGUCGGUAACACCCGAAGCCAGUGGCCUAACCGCAAGGGAGGAGCUGUCGAAGGUGGGAUCGGUGA